UUUCUGAGACUGGAUUAUUUCACUAAGCAUAGUGGUUUCCAGUUGCAUCAUCUUGUUGCAAAAGACAGGAUUUCAUUUUUUUUUUUUUACAGUUGAGUAGUAUUCCGUAGUGUAUAUAUACAACAUUUCCUUAUCCAGUCAUCAGCUGAUGGACAUUUGGGUUGAUUCCAUAUCUCAGCUAUUGUACUAUUGUGAAUUGCGGUCAGCAACAGAGUUUCAAGAAGAGGGUGAGAGAACCCAGGACUGCUGGGAGGGGAUGAGGUUUGUCAUUCUGGAUGCCAACCAACAAAAAGAAGAUAUACUUAGGGGAGAUGAGGAAAUGAAGAGCCAGAUGAUCUAAGAAAAUUCCCCCACAGUCAUAGAACUACUAGAAGGUAGACUGGAACUCAAGCCUAUUUCUGGUGGAGCGAUACGUCUCAUUGUACACAGUCCAUCUCUUCCAAGAAUCAACUGAAAAUUAUUUACUUCAAGUUUUUCUUCAUAGAACAGAACUUCAUGACCUCACAAGAAAACACUGCAAUCAAGAGAAUGUCUUCCUGGUAUCCUUAUAAACUGUGACUGCAUUCUAAGAAUUGUAGUUUGGGUGUGGGGAGAACAAAUUCCAAUUGCUACAGUUACUAAAAAUAAAAUCAAGUUUAUGGUGAUAUGACUUCCCACAAAUGACAGGGCAAGUAUAUAUUUCAGUAUUUAAAAAAAGAAACAUAAAAAAUCAGAAAGGUAAACGCUCAAAUUUUGUAUUUAAAAACAUUUUAACAUUUUUAACUUCAUACAGGAAUAUACUUGAGCCUCCCCUUGUCCCCACACUUCCUCUUUUUGACUUCUCAGACAUAAAAUACAGCUUUUGUGAGAGCUUCGGGAUCAUUUCGUUCCCUUUGGGGAAUAGCUUAGAUGGUUUUUGAUUUCAACCGCUCGGCAUCUCUGUGGUGUGUGCCUGCGUGUGUGCCUGCACGUGGACGCCUGCCUGGGCCAGGCAGGGUAGGACAGUCACUAAAGACGGGACCUGAAUCUGGCUUGGCGAAUCAGGAUGCCACUGGGUACGAGGGUAUUACUUACACGAGCGGCAGCUGUUCUUGUGACUAUAAAGUUAAACACACUGGCUAAGGAUAUUCUGAAGCCACUGAUGAACAAGUGUCUCAAAGAUACAUCCAUACAACAGCGCAUGUUUAGCCUUUGAUGCACUACAAUGGCUGUCCCACGUCAGCUUUCUUCUUCUCCAGGUUUCCUGCAGCCCCCCCUGACUGUCCCUGUCACCCAGUGCCAGAUGGGAAGUGAGAGCUCAGCUGAUCCACCUCUUUGUGGUAGAAACCCCCAGAGCUUCAACUCCGGGCUACAGGUUACCGAAGCCAUCAUGAAAAAUUCAGAGCUGAUAUUAACAAGUCUGCUGAAAGUAAAGCGCGUGUCACAUUAUCCACCCUGCCUUUCAGUUAAUACUGAAGCUACUGUCGCCGGAGAAGAAAUGCAUCCUCGCUGUGUUUGUGUUCAGAACGCCUUGCGUUGUGCCGCGUGGAUUCAGACAGAGACAGAAAGAUGUUGUAAAAAACAUAGGAGAGAAAGAUCAGCUAGCUGAAUUGCUGACAGUCUUACUAAAUGACAAAAAGUAGAAUUGUGAAUUGUAAGGAAGUGGCUUCCUAAUACUUGAAAUAUGGAAAUAUUUUAUCUACAUGCCAGUUCUUAGUUUUCCUUAAAUGAUUCAACAUGUUUGUAAUUGCUUUUUGGUACACAUUGCUUCAGUAUUUUUCCAGUGGAAAUCUAUUUCAUAGCAGUCCCUUUAAUUAAAGACUUAGAAAAACAUUACAGUAAUUACUCAUCAUAAUUUUUGGAAGACCUGCUCUGACCUAAGCACUGUUCUAAGCACUUUUCAUGGAGGAUCCAAUUUAGUUCUCACAAUAAGCCAAAAAGACAGGUACUAUUUACUAUGAAUACCAUUUUCUGGUUUAGGAAACUGAGGCACUGGGUUAAGCAACCUGCUGAUGGCCACGUAAGUGGCAGAUUUAAGCCCAGGGAGUUUCACUCCAGUUCCUGCAAACUGAACCCUUUCUUCCAUCGGUGCUGUCUAUUCAUUAUGUUUAAACAAAUGCAGGGACAUUCCAAGGAUCCUAUCGUGCCCUAAUACCUUCCCAAAUAAUUAGAGAUUUCACACCUCUAAUUGAGGUGAGGAAGCAACAUUUUACAGAGGAAGUAAAAGUCCCCUUUUAUAACCAACCUCUGUCCCAUGCCUCCUGAAUCUGUCCCAGAGGCUGCUAUUUUUACCAUGAGAUUUGCGUGAAUUUUAAAAUAUAAUUUUAUGUAAAUAUAUAGUACGACAGUACUUCAAGGAGUUUGUAGAAAGAUGGGAUUAAAAGAUAAGUUCAUUUUGGUGCAAAAAGUCCUUGAAAUCCAUGCUUAGUAUUUUUUAUAAUAUGCAUUUUUCAUGAACAUUUUGAAGACUCCUUGUGUAUCACAGUCUACUUAUCUGUCCACAGCUUCCUUUUUUCUUCUCAACAUUUUGUGUUUCAAGAUCUCUCUGUAUUAAAAAUAAAAAUGAAAGCCUAGAGGACUGUGAGUUUGUGAGAACCUAACAGGGAAGGAAGAGCGAUAACCCAGUCAUGGGCUACAGUACAUAUAUUACCCCAGGAGCUGAAUGGGAUUUAAUGGGAGCACAUAGGAGGUCGUAGCAUGAAUGCAAUGAUUUAGUGGCCAGACAUACACAUCAACCAACUGUCAACCUCCUUUGAUUCCCAUCCCCCCUUCCUAAUGAAGUGAAGGAGCCGUACCUCAUUGGAAACUUUGAAGAGAAUAUGCUGAAUCUCUUUAUAAUGCAGCUAUUUCAUUUUUAUCUUUCUUUUCAAAAUGUACUCAUUGAUGAUACUGUCAGAUCAUAGCAUCAUGCCUGAAGUUGCAUCAGGGUUUCAACUGUUUCUCAAUUCUAAUAUUAUCAUGCAUACAAUCUUAAUAAAUACAAUCAUUGUGAAAUGUUCAUGAUGAAGUUUGUAAGUAGCUGAGGGUAUAGGCACGUUUCUGCUUUGCUUCCAACAGAGAGAUGCUAACCCCUAUCAAGGAAGAAAAAUAUUCAGUGAAUUGGCUGUGCAUGAUCUGAACACAACCAAACCCUCUUGGUAAUCUAAGCAAG